GGGCAUGGCAGACGGGUGAGUAACGCGUGGGGAAUCUACCUCUUUGUGGGGAAUAACGCUCCGAAAGGAGUGGUAAUACCGCAUGAGAUCCAUGGCUGGAAUGUUGUGGAUGAAACCUGGGGACCUUCGGGCCUGGGGCAAGGAGAGGAUCCUGCGUCUGAUUAGCUAGUUGGUGAGGUAACGGCCCACCAAGGCAACGAUCAGUAGCUGGCCUGAGAGGGUGAUCGGCCACACUGGAACUGAGACACGGUCCAGACUCCUACGGGAGGCAGCAGUGGGGAAUUUUGCGCAAUGGGCGAAAGCCUGACGCAGCAACGCCGCGUGGGUGAUGAAGGUCUUCGGAUCGUAAAACCCUGUCGUCGGGGACGAAGGUGUGGGGGUUAAUAGCCUUUGCAUUUGACGGUACCCGGAGAGGAAGCCCCGGCUAACUCUGUGCCAGCAGCCGCGGUAAUACAGAGGGGGCAAGCGUUAUUCGGAAUUAUUGGGCGUAAAGGGCGCGUAGGCGGCUUUUUAAGUGAGAUGUGUAAUCCCCGAGCUCAACUUGGGAACUGCAUCUCAUACUGGGAGGCUAGAGUACUGGAGAGGGUGGUAGAAUUCCACGUGUAGCGGUGAAAUGCGU
rnacentral:rRNA from 1 species